CCUUCGAUAGCUCAGUUGGUAGAGCGGAGGACUGUAGAGGAAUUACAGAGAUCCUUAGGUCACUGGUUCAAUUCCGGUUCGAAGGA
rfam:Xenopus laevis strain J chromosome 5L, whole genome shotgun sequence.